AAUAAGUGUAGUUUUACGCUAUUCACGUUUAAUGUUUGACCGUUCGUCUUAUUUGAAAUUUUUUUAUGAUUAGUAUUUUUAUUGUUAUUAGAUGAUAAAACAUGAAUAGUACUUUAUGUGUGACUUAAUAUUUUCAAAUUUUUCAAAUAAGACGAACGGUUAAACGUUGGGCACGGAUAUCCACAGCUGCACUUAUU
rfam:Oryza sativa Japonica Group DNA, chromosome 1, cultivar: Nipponbare, complete sequence.